rnacentral:rRNA from 1 species
GACAGCAGCCGCCACGGGAAUACGUAGGUGGCAAGCGUUGUCCGGAAUUAUUGGGCGUAAAGGGCUCGCAGGCGGUUUCUUAAGUCUGAUGUGAAAGCCCCCGGCUCAACCGGGGAGGGUCAUUGGAAACUGGGAAACUUGAGUGCAGAAGAGGAGAGUGGAAUUCCACGUGUAGCGGUGAAAUGCGUAGAGAUGUGGAGGAACACCAGUGGCGAAGGCGACUCUCUGGUCUGGAACUGACGCUGAGGAGCGAAAGCGUGGGGAGCAAACAGGAUUAGAUACCCGUGUAGUCCCUGUCUCUUAUAC